CUUCAGCGAACCGAGCAGCAGCGGCCGCGCCGGGUCGCGGUCCUGGCCGUAGGUGGCGAGGAUGGCCUGCGCCUC
rnacentral:antisense_RNA from 1 species